AGUGAACGCUGGCGGUAGGCCUAACACAUGCAAGUCGAACGGCAGCACAGUAAGAGCUUGCUCUUACGGGUGGCGAGUGGCGGACGGGUGAGGAAUACAUCGGAAUCUACUUUUUCGUGGGGGAUAACGUAGGGAAACUUACGCUAAUACCGCAUACGACCUACGGGUGAAAGCAGGGGAUCUUCGGACCUUGCGCGAUUGAAUGAGCCGAUGUCGGAUUAGCUAGUUGGCGGGGUAAAGGCCCACCAAGGCGACGAUCCGUAGCUGGUCUGAGAGGAUGAGCAGCCACACGGGGACUGAGACACGGCCCAGACUCCUACGGGAGGCAGCAGUGGGGAAUAGUGGACAAGGGGCGCAAGCCUGAUCCAGCCAUGCCGCGUGAGGGAAGAAGGCCUUCGGGUUGUAGAGCGCUUUUGUAGGGAACGAAAAGCCGCUGGCUAAUACCCGGGGGUGAUGACGGUACCGUAAGAAUAAGCACCGGCUAACUACGUG
rnacentral:rRNA from 1 species